rnacentral:rRNA from 1 species
CCUACGGGUGGCAGCAGUGGGGGAUAUUGGACAAUGGGGGGAACCCUGAUCCAGCGACGCCGCGUGAGUGAAGAAGUAUUUCGGUAUUUUAAGCUCUGUCAGCAGGGAAGAAAGAAAUGACGGUACCUGACCAAGAAGCCUCGGCUGACUACGGGCCAGCAGCCGCGGUAAUACGUAGGGGGCAGGCGUUCUCCGGAAUUACUGGGUGUAAAGGGAGCGUAGACGGUUAAGUAAGUCUGGAGUGAAAGGCCGGGGCCCAACCCCGGGACUGCUGUGGAAACUAUUGAACUUGAGUGCAGGAGAGGUAAGCGGAAUUCCUGGUGUAGCGGUGAAAUGCGUAGAUAUUAGGAGGAACACCGGUGGCGAAGGCGGCUUACUGGACUGUAACUGACGUUGAAGCUCGAAAGCGUGGGGAGCGAACAGGAUUAGAUACCCGAGUAGUC